CCCUUAGAUGUUCUGGGCCGCACGCGCGCUACACUGAUGCAUUCAACGAGUCUAAAACCUGCUCUGAUAGGGGUGGGUAAUCUUUUGAAUGUGCAUCGUGAUUGGGAUAGAUGAUUGCAAUUUUUCAUCUUCAACGAGGAAUGCCUAGUAAACGCAAGUCAUCAGCUUGCAUUGAUUACGUCCCUGCCCUUUGUACACACCGCCCGUCGCUCCUACCGAUUGAAUGAUCCGAUGAAUAUCAUGGAUUGAGGAUGCAAGCAGGUUCGCCUGUCUUCAUCUUCGAGAAGUGAAGUAAAUCUUCUCAUUUAGAGGAAGGAGAAGUCGUAACA
rnacentral:rRNA from 1 species